UUUUUUUUUAGUAGAAGUCCUAUUUGCAAAACUACUAGUGAGCUUAACAUAACAGAUACACACUUUUGCAUUAGCACAUCGACCGGAUGGGGUUUUCGCAGGUAUCAAUCUGAUGGCACAUACCUUUGGGGACUGGGAAGACUUGAGUGGCCCGAACAGCAUGGGGUUUUUACUGCCAACAGCCACCAAAUCAGAAGAACGAACUGAAUCAGGAAUAAACUCAAUCGAAACGCAGAUUCCUCGAGCAUCAGAGCAUACUCACUCAUAGAUGGUCUUCUUAAACGUCCUGAACCCAGCCCUCAACCUCUCCGCGGAGCCCAACCCCUGCAGAGCACGCAGCAGCAGCCGUCAGCCGUCGCGCCACAAGGGGAAAGGGAAACAGCACAAUGCCGGCGCGCGACAAGAGAAUCGCAUCGCUCGGGGACUGGCCUCGCUGUAGGUGACCAUCUGGGCCGGGUGGUGGUGGCCGGCAGCGCUCGAUCCGCCCCCGAUGAGCGGCUCGCGGGCCGGGCUCAACGGGUUCUCCCGAGGCGGCUUGUGGGCGAGGAAGCAGCAGCAGCAUCCCCCCAUCGCCGAUCGCCCCCGCGAGCCGCUCGAGGAGGGAGAGAUCGGUGGAGAGGUGGGCGCCCGUAGCUCGUUGCCUCGGUCCUGACUCCUGAUUUUGCCCGCGGGCCGCAGGGGAAGGGGAAGAGGGUUUUGCAGUUUCGCUCGGGAUGAAACCGAACUUCGGCAGGCUUGGACUCUCGGGUGUUAUCCUGCUCGCCUCAAUUUGGAAAUCAUUAGCCCGAGAGGAUUGAUUUAGGUUCCGUUGGAUUUGAACUGCGAAAGCACAGAAUGGUGAAAGAGAUUCAGAGUUCAGCUCAGGAUCAUCGCGUGGGCCCCGCCGCUGCUUUAAAUCGGGGCAACGAGACGGCCAGAUUUUAGGUUGGCCGUUGUCUCGUGGCUCGUGGUUGGCUCGGGUUCACCGGUUCACCACCAUGUGAGGAGCUAAUGACAGUUGAGAAGGAUUUCCUUUAAAGUUCAAAACCGAUAAAGUAAAAAAAUUAAAUUCAUCCUAUUUCUAGUUUAUUUUAAUCUAACUUUACAAAACGAUUUCACACUUAGUAUCUCGAUUUGCGCAAAACAGAUGAAGUCGAAACUAAAAUAAACCUCCAAAAGAUAUCUUCCCUUUUCCAUUAUUAUUUCUCAGGUUUGGAUAGACCCUGUAAACUAUAAUCAAUACUCUUUCCGCUUCAAAUUAUAGAUCGUUUUGGUUUUUCUAGAUAUAUAAUUUUCCUUAUGUAUCUGAACAUAGCAUAUAUCUAGAUGCACAUAAAUAUCAAAUAUCAUAUAUCUAGAAAAGUCAAAACAAUCUAUCACUUUUUAGAGUUGCUCUAAGUCAAACUAUUUUAAAUUUAAUCAAUUUUAUAUAGAAAACAACUUGAUGAUAAUCUAUGAACCAAAUAAUACACUACGAAAUAUAUAUUUAAGGGGCAUUUUGUAAUAGACUAAUAAUACUAAUUUGGUGUUAUAAAUAGUAGUGCUCUUUUGCGUAAGUUUGAUCAGGCUUGAAAUAGUUUGACUUAAGAGAACUCUAUAAAUUGAUUUAUUCUUUAUGGAGGGAGUACUUCUUUUCAACUAUAAAUAAGAGGAGAAAACCAGGCAAUGCUGCAGCUCAUCACUGGCCAAGCCAACAAGUGCAGAGUGUGCCCUAACCUGCGUGUUGACUUUCUAGCGGGACUUAAAACCAUCUUCUUCGUUGGCAGAAAGCCUUUCAUUCAGCAACACACAUUUACACAGUCACAGGUUUGCAGGGAUAAUAUACACAAGAAUGCUAGGUAGUUGGCCUUAAUCAAUUUUUUUUCAUAAUAAUAACUUGUAGGAAUAGUUGACAACUCAGGGGGCAAACAGGCUUUGCCUUUCACUUUCGUUUUUAACUUUUUUCCAGAUUUUCUAUAUAUGUUUGAUGUUGUUUAAUUUUCAGUGUUCUUCAAACGAAUAAACCAACAGUAAGAUACUUCUAUAGGGCAAAUGACAUUCAAUACAGCAGGAUUGCAAUGUGGGCAGCUAGCACAUCCAGAGGAAACAGGCGACAUAACUACUACUAAGCCCAAGAACACGUCAUGACAGAAAAAAAACCCAAUUAUGCUCUUAACUUCAUGCGGCCCACUUUCAAUGUUUUGUCUUAAUUAUGAAAAAAUAACACGCCAUGACACGUCUUUUCCUUCAGAGGACGAGUUAUAUACGCCAUGACACAUCAUGGAGAGCAGCAAAAGGUAGCAUAAGAAGGUAAACUCUUUCUCUCUUCAUGAUAAUAUGAAUGAAAAGAUCAUUACAGCUGAUGUGUUUUGACCACACGUCGAUCAAACUAUGCAUCAUACAUACAUUAAAAAAGAAGAAGAAAGAACUCCGCGACAGAAAAUUGUAUUGCUUAUUACAGUUCACAAAGAGCAAUCCGGUAUGUGUGUAUAGGGGCAAAUUAGUAGUACUGCUCCACGCAGUCAGAUGUAUCGAUCGGGAGCAUAUAUGUUGUAGCCGUACAUGAUUAACAGCUAGCCUGGUUGGCCGCUCAUGGAUCCCAUGUCUCGAACUUGCCGGAGACGAAGUCGUAGUGGCCGCCGACCAGCUUGAGUGUCCCCUUCUCCAGCCCUUCCUUGACGAACGGGUAGGUCUUGAGGUUCUCGAGGGACACGUUCACGGCCUCCUGCAAGGUAAAGUGUUCAGAGGUCCAACAACAGCCACGCACUCCAUGAGCAAAUCGUUUUCCCGUUGGAGCUCGUCUCCAAGAUGAUGAUCCAGACAGAGGUCUUUUAAUUUCAGAGCAUACCUUUUCCAAGGCGGAGCAUUGGUCUUCGAAGGGGGCCGAGGCGUGGUCGGCCUGCACCUUCGUCUUCGCGGGGCCGCCGAUCCUGACCCAUUCCUCGACGAAGUGGCUGGACAGGGGAUCAAACAGUAAGUAGUGAUGCAAGAUACAGCAAACCAGUUUCAAGUUCUCAACACCGUCGUCAGUUGUCUGAGUCUUCCACACGGAUGCUUACAACUUGUCGGGCUCGCCGUCCUUGAGCGAGAGGAGCGCCUUGAUCCCGCCGCAGCGGCUGUGGCCGAUGACCACGAUGACCUCCACCUUGAGGGCGCAGACGGCGUACUCGAUAGCGGACCCGACGCCGGCGUACCGGGUCUGCAAGCAGAACGUGCGUGAGCGGUCGAGCCGACGACGAUGCCUGCCAGCGGCGGCGACAUGCUGCGAGAACUACCAGGCGCGCGUACCUUGUCGUAGGGUGGGACCAUGCUGGCGAUGUUGCGGACGGAGAAGGCCUCGCCGGGCUGCAGGCCCAGGGUCACCGACGGGCACACGCGGGAGUCGGAGCAGGCGAACACCAGGUACUGCACACAACCAUGAAUGGCAGCGAACAGUCAGCAGCCGGGUUACCGAUCCUCUGACCCUGACGGCCAUUGCUCUCCCUAGCUGGCUAGUAGCUCCUACUUCCUAUCAAGGGUUAAGCCCAAGACGGGGGAUAGGAACAGUAACAUGAGGCUCCUUUCAGAAAUAAAAAGUAACAUGAGGCCGGCCUACUUUAUUUGCGAGUGACGACAAGGUGGACCGUGGCUAGAAAAAUGUAUGGAAUCUUUAGUUCGAGGCUUCGGGCAACUAGCAGGAUUCGACAUUUCCGACUACAUAUACUUUAGAGUCCCCAUCAAACUCUGUUUUUUGAAGAGUCCCAUCGAACUCUGUUUCUUUGAAGAGUCCCAUCAAACUAUGUUGUUAUUUUACAUAAAGAUUGGGAUUAGUUUAGGCCAAAAUUUUCAUACUUUGACCCUUAAUCUUCCUUAAAAAAACUAUAUAAAUCAACUAUGUAAAACUGAUGUUACUAAGUCCACCAUGAAAAAUAUUUCAAUAAAUGUAACUCUUCAAAUAAUAUAUCUCCAUGGAUAUAGCUUGCCAAAGUAAGGUAAUGAAAGAUCGUGUGUCAAAACCAGGCGAGCCACAGAUAUGCAGAUUUCUAAUAAAGAGUUACGUGUGGACCAUAUCAUAUUUAAUUUCUUUCUAAUAUCUUUUUUUUCUGGAUGAUGGUCUAUCUUCUAAUAUCUAUAGAUGAUGUAUAUCUGCCGUUCUUAGCUUCUUGUAGCUGCUGAUAGCCAUUUCUGAACAUCUUUUUUAUUCUGGCGCACGUAUUACUCAUUUGGUCAACUUCUACCGCUUCUUUUUUUUCCCUCAUUUGGUCAACUUUGACCUCGAUCAAAUGCUGCGUGCACACAUUCGCAGGCGGCGUUGGACGCGGAUAGGGGGGGCCGCUAGAUCAACGGCAGGGUUGGUGGCAAAUGGGGACCCGUGAUUCCCGAUGUGCUAUCUAGUACGGGAAAACGGUUGUGUUGCCGGCCGGAUCCCCUCAGGAUAUUCCGAAUUUACUAUGAACGCAGAAACUGGCCGCUACGAGCUUCGAAAAUUUUGGUGGUGAACAAGAAUGCAAGAUAUAUUUCUUUACUCCAUUCUACAGUGCAUACCUUGGGGGACUGGUGGGCCUUGAGCGGCUCGAACGUCUCCGGCUUCUUGCUGCCGAUCGACAGGGAGACGGGUCGUCAAAGAGUCAAUUCACUUCACAUCGAGCAGGAGGCUUGGGAGAAUAGAGAGUAGCUUGGAUCACUUACUCGUAGACAUCGGCCUUGAACUGCUCGAACCCGGUCUUCAAGCGCUCGACGGCGUCCGCCAUGGCCUCCUGCAAGAGCCACAGAUCAUGUCGUCAACACAGCUGUGCCGUCCGUCCACAACAAGAUCACCAGAUGCGUCAUGCAGAUUUCUCGGGGUGGGGGGGGGGGGGGGAGUCAUGCGAAUUGCGAGCGACGAGUCUAGAAAGGGAAAGAAGAUGGGUUGAAGCAUGGAGGAUGGAGGAGGAGGGGGCUGACCUUUGGGCUGCAGAGGAGAGCAGGUGGUGAACUGUGGAAGGAUUGACGAAGACUGUGGAAGGCUUUGCUUCGCUGUAGAGCUGCCCCGUCCAUGCCUCCCCGGGGGACCUUUUUUAUAGGAGGGGGGAGGCACGGGAAGCAGCGGCUCGCCUUCUUUUCCUGCCCCCCCGGUCGUGCAGCUGGACGGAUGGACGCGGGGAACGGCGAACCGGUCCAGCACGAGACGUGUCAUCGUGCGGGACGGGGUACACCACUAACCCACCGAGCUUCCAAAGGUCCAUCCUGCAGGCCGCCUUCGCCUUGACCUCCGGCUGGCCGCGGCCGGGCAGGCGUGGCGCCGGGCUUGGGGUGCCGUCCUUCCCCGGGGAAACGAGGAGGACGAUGGAGAGGCUGGAGCCGGAUGGGCUGAACGCCGCGGUGGACACGGCUCACGACGCGUGGCGCCCUGCCGGUUUAGCGGAGCCGGAGAAAACGAGGGGGCGCGGUGUGAAGACCCAAGAGGUAAAUACUUAAUUUUAUUUAUUAACUAAUCCACUAAUUAGUAAUUUUGAAGAACAUAAGUAUUAAAAAUCCAUGAGAGAAAUUGGAUCUCGUAACUGAUCAUCAAAUUACCUCACCCCCUUCUCAUUUCUCAAAUAUUCUAGCACAUAUAUAUAGAUAUAUAUUUAUCUUUAUCCAUUAUAGAAUUUAGUUAGAAAUUAAUCUAUGCACUCUUCAUCGUCGUUGAUAGUUUUCUUUUUGCAUGGCAUCUGCAUCUGGGUUUGACAUUUUUCUAACUAAAUUCUUAGUUUGGGCUAUGUGUUUAACAUGGAAAUUGGUGCUAUCAUAGCUUCCUGCAUAUACAGGGGUGGAUCCGACCCACUUGGUGCUGUUACUUGAUAGCAAUGGAUUUUUAAAAUCCAAGGCUAAAGUUAUCUUGAUAUUAGAGAAAAUCAUAUCGUAAAUUUGACACUAGUGACAUCAAUGGUUCUCUAUUCUAGAUUACCGCCUAUGUAGAUAUGUAUACAUGGUCUAAACCGUAAGUUAGUAUCUUUAUAACAGAAAUAAAUAAUUUAGAAUUUUUUAUUGGUGUGCACUGGGAUACUUUUUUAUAAUGAUAGAUGCAGUUAAUCAAGAAGCCAAUUUAGGGAUUAUUUUCAAUUGUUUUUAGUAAUAGCACAUAUGGAUAAUUUAUAUAUAUAGAUUUAGGAUGUUACUUUAUUAGAUGAUUUUUAUACUAAAAUGGCAGCGACGGGCUACUUUUUAUGCAUGUCCAUGAAGCAUACAACCAAGAAAAUGUUGUAAUGAAACUGAGAUCUUAGUAAACCUUGUGCUUUUCACGAGCAUACAACCUUGCAAUUUCUCAUAUUAAUACUAAGGUACAUAUCUGUCUGGUGUAUACGAGAGGGGGGAAAAAAAGAAUGUGCAACCAAAGCAGAGACAAAAAGAACAUGAGCAACCAUUUAGAGAUCUACUGGAAGGAACAGAGAGCAAGCAACCAAACUUUACUUCUGGUUUAAAGCGUGUGAUCAAUGUGGAUUAUUACUGUUGAUUUUUCUAGCUUAUUAGCAUGCACUGUAGCACGCAAAAGCACAUAGGCAUAAAGACCCCCCCCCCCCUCUGUUGAGUGCAAGAUUUUCAGAAAGUUUAGGGGUCAACUUUCUUAAUCUUUUUUUGUGAAGACAGCUUUGUAGUACAAAAUCAUUCAUGUCUCACAUAAAAAUGGUAGCACCAGCAUUUCAGGGAGAGAGAGAGAGAGAGAAGGGGCAUCAAGAUGUAGUAGAAAGGUAAAGUAUGCAUGAUAGUAUUAUGAAAAAGGCUUAUACAGCUGAUGUCUCUUGACCACAAAAGCGGUCUAAUUACGCACCAUAUAUAUUACAUAUAAGCUCCACCUUAGAAAUUAAAGCAGUAGAAGCUGCUAUUGCUUAUUACAUUCACAGAUAGGACGAUCCGGUUUGUAGCUGUCGAAAUAGGAGGUAAGUCCUCCACGCGUUGACAUCGACCGGGUGCAUAUACGUCGGUAUGUAUGUAUCUGAUGUAGUAGGAGUUUGCGGCCUAUUUCUCCCAUGUGUCGAAGAUUCCGUUCACGAAGUCGUAGCGGGCACCGACCAGCUUGAGGGUCCCGUUGGCCACGCCUUCCUUGACCCAGGGGUAGGUCAAGAGGUUCAAAAGGGACACGUUCACGGCCUCCUGCAGAAACAUUCAGAAAUGCAGGAUCCUCUCAUGAGCAAACCAAUUCGAUCUUUAUGAAAUCACGCGCGUAUGGGCAGCGGGUAACCAAAGAUCGCCAUGGCAACCAGGUCGUAGCCCGUGCGUACCUUCUCCAAGAUGGAGCACUGGUCAUCAAACGGAACCGUGGGGUGCUGGCUCAGCACCUUCUUCUUGGCCAGGAAGCCGAUCCUGACCCAGUCCUCGACGAAGUGGCUGGGCGCGUCGCCAAACAAACAAAGAACAUCCUCGAGUCAGAGACAUGAUGCUGCAGGGGUAGCAGGCUCCUCCCAUCUAAAACUUUGUUCCACCGUGACUUACAAGGUGUCGGGUGCGCCGUCCUGGAGGGAGAGGAGCGCCUUGAUGCCACCACAGCGGCUGUGGCC
rnacentral:lncRNA from 1 species